rnacentral:rRNA from 1 species
AGAGUUUGAUCCUGGCUCAGAUUGAACGCUGGCGGCAGGCCUAACACAUGCAAGUCGAGCGGAUGAGUGGAGCUUGCUCCAUGAUUCAGCGGCGGACGGGUGAGUAAUGCCUAGGAAUCUGCCUGGUAGUGGGGGACAACGUUUCGAAAGGAACGCUAAUACCGCAUACGUCCUACGGGAGAAAGUGGGGGAUCUUCGGACCUCACGCUAUCAGAUGAGCCUAGGUCGGAUUAGCUAGUUGGUGAGGUAAAGGCUCACCAAGGCGACGAUCCGUAACUGGUCUGAGAGGAUGAUCAGUCACACUGGAACUGAGACACGGUCCAGACUCCUACGGGAGGCAGCAGUGGGGAAUAUUGGACAAUGGGCGAAAGCCUGAUCCAGCCAUGCCGCGUGUGUGAAG